rnacentral:rRNA from 1 species
AUUGAACGCUGGCGGCAGGCUUAAUACAUGCAAGUCGAGCGAGCGGCGGACGGGUGAGUAAUGUCUGGGAAACUGCCUGAUGGAGGGGGAUAACUACUGGAAACGGUAGCUAAUACCGCAUACCAUCAGAUGUGCCCAGAUGGGCUUAGCUAGUAGGUGGGGUAAUGGCUCACCUAGGCGACGAUCCCUAGCUGAUUUGUGAGGAAGACCAGCAACACUGGAACUGAGAGACGGUCCAAAAUCAUACGGGAGGCAGCAGUGGGGAAUAAUGCACAAAGGGCGCAAUCCUGAUACAACCAUGCCGCGUGUGUGAAGAAGGCAUUCGGAUUGUAAAGCAGUUUCAGCGAGAAGGCGUUACUCGCAGAAGAAGCACCGGCUAACUCCGUGCCAGCAGCCGCGGUAAUAC